AUGGAGACUUCAGGAUCACUUCAAGACCACAGUCAAGUUCAUGGAGAAUCAGAAAAUCUAGACUAUGGAGAGACGGAUUUCCACAAGCAAGACCGGGAGGCCAGACUCAUUUCUCAAGGACAAAAUGAGAGAGACAAGUCUUCCUCCUCUUCGUCGUCCUCCUCCUCCUCCUCCUCGUCCUCCUCGUCCUCUUCCUCAGAGAACAGUGAUGAGGACCCGCACCCCCGAGUAAGCAGAGAACGUCGGCACAGCCAGGGGGCUGGACUCCCCCGCAGGGGCGGCUCACCCGGUAGGCAGUAGGCCUCGGCAUUUCUCCUUUGUCCACUCAGUGGAACUAAGUGUGUCUGUGUGAAGCUGUUCCUUUCAGCAUUGUUUAUAGUAGGGCAACCACAGAAAUAACCUAAUGUCCAACAGCACAGCAGAGCUCUGGUCUUUAUCCAGAGCUGGUCUUUUUCUCUAAAGCGAAAAAGAGAAAUUCAAAUCAUAGGGUUGGUUUGAUCUCAUAUCAGUUCAGUUCAGUCGCUCUUUGCGACCCCAUGGACUGCAGCACGCCAGGCCUCCCUGUCCAUCACCAACUCCCGGAGUUUACUCAAACUCAUGUUCACUGAGUCGGUGAUACCAUCCAAUCAUCGCUUCCUCUGUCGUCCCCUUUUCCUCCUGCUUCCAACCUUUCCCAGCCUCAGGGUCUUUUCAAAUGAGUCAGUUCUUUGCAUCAAGUGGCCAAAGUGUUGGAGUUUCAGCUUCGGCAUCAGUCCCUCCAGUGAACAUUCAGGACUGAUCUCCUUUAGGAUGGACUGGUUGAAUCUCCCUGCAGUCUAAGGGACUCUCAAGAGUCUUCUCCAACACCACAGUUCAAAAGCAUCAAUUAUUUGGCACUCAGCCUUCUUUAUGGUCCAGCUCUCACAUCUGUACAUGACUACUGGCAAAACCGUGGCUUUGACUAGAUGGACCUUUGUUGGCAAAGUCAUGUCUCUGCUUUUUAAUAUGCUGUCUAGGUUGGUCAUAGCUUUUCUUCCAAGGAGCAAGUGUCUUUUAAUUUCAUGGCUGCAGUCACCAUCUACAGUGAUUUUGGAGCCCCCCAAAAUAAAGUCUGUCACUGUUUCCAUUGUUUCCCCAUCUAUUUGCCAUGAAGUGAUGGGACCAGAUGCCAUGAUCUUAGUGUUUUAAAAGUUGAGUUUUAAGCCAGCAUUUUCACUCUCCUCUUUCACUUUCAUCGAGAGGCUCUUCAGUUCCUCUUUGCUUUCUGCCAUAAGGGUGGUGUCAUCUGCAUAUCUGAGGUUAUUGAUAUUUCUCCCAGCAGUCUUGAUUCCAGCUUGUGCUUCAUCCAACCCCACACUUUGCAUGAUGUACUCUGCAUAUAAGUUAAAUAAGCAGGUGACAAUAUACAGCCUUGACGUACUCCUUUCCCAAUUUGGAACCAGUCUGUUCCAUGUGCAGUUCUAACUGUUGCUUCUUGACCUUCAUACAAAUUUCUCAGGAGGCAGGUAAGAUGGUCUGGCAUUCCCAUCUCUAAGAAUUUUCCACAGUUUAUUGUGAUCCACAUAGUCAAAGGCCUUGGCAUAGUCAAUAAAGCAGAAAUAGAUGUUUUUCUGGAACGCUCUUGCUUUUUCUAUGAUCCGACAGUAGUUGGCAAUUUGAUCUCUGGUUCCUCUGCCUUUUCCAAAUCUAGCUUGAACAUCUGGAAGUUCUUAGUUCAUGUACUAUUGAAGCCUUGCUUGGAGAAUUUUGAGCAUUACUUUGCUAGCAUGUGAGAUGAGUGCAAUUGUGCAGUAGUUGGACAUUGUUUGGCAUUGCCUUUCUUUGAGAAUGGAAUGAAAACUGACUUUUUCCAGUCCUGUGGCCACUGCUGAGUUUCCCAAACUUGCUGGCAUAUUGAGUACAGCACUUUAACAGCAACAACUUUUAGGACUUAAAAUAGCUCAGCUGGAAUUCCGUUACCUCCACUAGCUUUGUUUGUAGUGAUACCUUGUAAGGCCCACUUGACUUCAGACUCCAGGAUGAUUGGCCCUAGGUAAGUGAUCACACCAUCGUGGUUAUCUGGGUCAUUAAGAUCUUUUUUGUAUAGUUCUUCUGUGUAGUCUUGUCACCUCUUCUUAAUAAGUUCUGCUUCUGUUAGGUCCAUACUAUUUCUGUCCUUUAUCGAGCCCAUCUUUGCAUGAAAUGUUCCCUUGGUAUCUAAUUUUCUUAAAGAGAUCUCUAGUCUUUUUCAUUCUGUUGUUUUCCUCUAUUUCUUUGCAUUGAUCACUGAAGAAGGCUUUCUCAUCUCUCCUUGCUGCUCUUUGGAACUCUGCAUUCAGAUGGGUAUAGCUUUCCUUUUCUCCUUUGCCUUUAGCUUCUCUUCUUCUCUCAGAUAUUUGUAAGGCCUCCUCAGGCAACCAUUUUGCCUUUUUGCAUUUCUUUUUCUUGGGGAUAGUCUUGAUUACUGUCUUCUUUACAGUGUCACAAACCUCCAUCCAUAGUUCUUCAGGCACUCUGUCUAUCAGCUCUAAUCCCUUGAAUCUGUCUGUCACUUCCACUGUAUAACUGUAGGAGAUGUGAUUUAGGUAAUACCUGAAUGGCCUAGUCGUUUUCCCUACUUUCUUCCAGUUAAGUCUGAAUUUGGCAAUAAGGAAUUCAUGAUCUGAGCCAUAGUCAGCUCCGGGUUUUUGCUGUUUUUGCUGACUGUGUAGAGCUUCUCCAUCUUCAGCUACAAAGAAUAUAAUCAAUCUGAUUUUGGUGUUGACCAUCUGGUGAUGUCCAUGUGUAGAGUCAUCUCUUGUGUUGUGUGUUGUUAGAAGAGGGGAUUUGCUAUGACCAGUGCGUUAAGAAUGCACUGGUUCUUUGCCCUGCUUUGCCCAUUAGCCUUUGCCCUGCUACAUUUUGUACUCCAAGGCCAAACGUGCCUGAUACUCCAGGUAUCUCUUGACUUCCUACUUUUGCAUUCCAAUCCCCUAUGGGGAAAAGGACAUCUUUCUUAGUGUUAUUCUAGAAGGUCUUGUAAGUGUUCAUAGAACUGUUCAGCUUCUUCAGCAUUAGUGGUUGGGGCAUAGACUUGAUUACUGUAAUAUUCAAUGGUUUGCCUUGGAAAUGAACAGAGAUCAUUCUGUCAUUUUUGAGAUUGUACCCAAAUACUGCAUUUUGGACACUUUUGUUGACUAUGAGGGCUACUCCUUUUCUUCUAGGGGAUCCUUGCCCACAGUAGUAGAUAUAAUGGUCAUCUGAAUUAAAUCUGCCCAUUUCAGUCCAUUUUAGUUCACUGAUUCCUAAGGUGUCGAUGUUCACUCUUGCCAUCUCCUGUUUGACCACUUCCAAUUUACCUUGAUUUAUGGACCUAACAUUCCAGGUUCCAAUGCAAUAUUGUUCUUUAUAGCAUUGGACUUUACUUCCAUCACCAGUCACAUCCAUAACUGGGCGUUGUUUUUGCUUUGGCGCCAUCUCUUCUUUCUGGAGUUGUUUCUCCACUCUUCUCCAGUAGCAUACUCGGCACCUCCUGACCUGGGGAUUUUAUCUUUCAGUGUCAUAUCGUUUUGCCUUUUCAUACUGUUCAUAGGGUUCUCAAGGCACGAAUACUGAAGUGGUUUGCCAUUCCUUUCUCUAGUUGAUCACAUUUUGUUGUAUCUUUUGUAAAAAAUGACCCAUAUGUGAUUAUAAAUAAGACUGGAAAGCAAAAUAUUGAAAUGUUAACAAUGGUUAUCUCUGGAUGGUUAUAUUAUGAAUGAUUUUUCUUUUCUUUUUUUUGAG
rnacentral:lncRNA from 1 species